rnacentral:rRNA from 1 species
CCUACGGGAGGCAGCAGUGAGGAAUAUUGGUCAAUGGCCGAGAGGCUGAACCAGCCAAGUCGCGUGAGGGAUGACUGCCCUAUGGGUUGUAAACUUCUUUUGUCAGGGAGUAAAGUGUUCCACGUGUGGGCUUUGGUGAGUACCCGAAGAAAAAGCCUCGGCUAACUCCGUGCCAGCAGCCGCGGUAAUACGGAGGAUGCGAACGUUAUCCGGAUUUAUUGGGUUUAAAGGGUGGGUAGGGGGGUUAUUAAGUCAGCGGUAAAAUCGUGGGGCCAAACCCCAUACUGCCGUUGAAACUGAUGGUCUUGAGUGGGCGAGAGGUAUGCGGAAUGCGUGGUGUAGCGGUGAAAUGCAUAGAUAUCACGCAGAACUCCGAUUGCGAAGGCAGCAUACCGGCGCCCAACUGAUGCUGAAGCACGAAAGCGUGGGUAUCGAACAGGAUUAGAUACCCCUGUAGUC